AGAGAGAAAAAGAGGAAUUUCUUUGUCUUUGAAAUAACCUUAUGCUUAGGCUCCUUGGUUCUAUUUAUAUUUCGAUCAAGUGAUCGAACCACUCGCUUCACUCGUUCUGUAUAUUAAUUAAUUUCUUUAUGGUAUCAAGUAAAUUGGUUUACAAGGCUUCAAUAUGUGCGUAGGCCGUUGUUAAUUAUUAUUUUCCUCAUUACUUUAACUGUUCUUUAUCUUGGCAUCGGUAUUUCCUCAACCAGUUUAAAUAAAAUUAUUCGACCUCAACAUCUGUUUCCGAAGUGGUUUUAUUUCGCGGUUUGGGCUAACUCCAGGCAGCGCAAUCUUUAAUAUUCCCGAAUGUUAUUAUUCUUGGGGUAGAAACACAUGCGUCAAAAAAUCGCAGCGUCGAUUCAAUUCCGAUGUCUAACCGGCAGAUUGAUGUUUGUUUUUGGAGCAGGUGAAAGAUGAGUGGAUGUAAACAAGUGCUAAACCCGGGGUUCGAGUCAAAAGAGAACGGGUUCGAAAUUAAUUACCGUUUUAUGGCCUCAUCACAUUUCGUCUUGUUCCAUUACCGAAAUCUCUUCGACAUUGGAAGUUUUCUCUUGGCGUAAUUAAAAUUACAAGUGCACAAUGGGCGUUAGUUAGGGGCUAUAAAAGCGGCGGUUUCCGGGGACGGCCGGAGGAGCGUGUAAUACUGAGAUAGAUAGGCGGUUGAUUCAGAACAAGUGCGGUGAUAAACGUGGAUGCUGAGACCGCAACGGCGGCUGAAGACUGAUGUUUGUUGUUGGAUCCGUGAUUUAUAACGACCACCGCCGCAAACAAUGCCAGCUCAAGUGAACCCCGCAACCCUCCAUCAGCAUCAAUAUAAAGUACAAACCGCGACGCCCCAACACGUAAAUCACAUGGAAAACUGCUACAAAUAUGUAAACGGCCUAGGAGCCACCCGGAGAAGACCUUAAUGGCUCGUUUUCAGAUAAUAUCACCACAGGCCCCUCCAGAGGUCCAAGCAGGCACACUACACCGCUGCUUUACCUUAAAAUGCCACUGACAAAUUGCGACAGCUUACAAGAUGCCUAAAGUAACCCACUUCUGACUCUUCAUACCGAAAGAACUUUACUAAUUAACCACUCUGUUACAGACAAAUUUAAAUGACAUAAGACUAACCCACACAAACUUUUCAUUAGAAAGUCAGAAAACAAGUUUUUACGAUUUGAAUUGACAUAUCGUGACAAACUACAUUCGUGUUUCAUAAAUCUCAGACGCACUUUCAACAAGAACUGAUCGACUGUAAGAUUUAAUUAACACAGACAACUACGAAAUUUGAUUUGUUAUGUAAUUGGUCAACAACCAGAAAACACCAAAUCAGUUCCUACAACCAAAAGUAGUGUAUCCCCAACGAUAAUUUCUUCUUACCUGCCAACUACUGCAGGUGAUAUCAAGUUUGGUCAUAAAAAGUUUCGUUGCACACCUUUUCCGUUCCUUCGGAAGUGCAAUGUCUAGAGCCAGGAAAUUCAUCAGACAUGAUAAAUGGCAGUUUAAAAUUUUUAUUAGAAACCUUAAUUUCUUCAAGAGAAAUACCUGCUGUCUCUGCUUUACGAGGGUAGGUGGUGAUUUUUCAUUGUACAACUCUAAUCCAAGUAGAGAAAUAAAUG